rnacentral:rRNA from 1 species
UACGAAGGGGGCUAGCGUUGCUCGGAAUCACUGGGCGUAAAGCGCACGUAGGCGGGUCGUUAAGUCAGGGGUGAAAUCCUGGAGCUCAACUCCAGAACUGCCCUUGAUACUGGCGAUCUCGAGUUCGGGAGAGGUGAGUGGAACUGCGAGUGUAGAGGUGAAAUUCGUAGAUAUUCGCAAGAACACCAGUGGCGAAGGCGGCUCACUGGCCCGAUACUGACGCUGAGGUGCGAAAGCGUGGGGAGCGAACAGG